rnacentral:rRNA from 1 species
CCUACGGGAGGCUGCAGUGGGGAAUAUUGCGCAAUGGGCGAAAGCCUGACGCAGCGACGCCGCGUGAGGGAUGAAGGUCUUCGGAUCGUAAACCUCUGUCAGCAGGGAAGAACGGUCACUGUGCUAAUCAGCAGUGAAUUGACGGUACCUGCAAAGGAAGCACCGGCUAACUCCGUGCCAGCAGCCGCGGUAAUACGGAGGGUGCGAGCGUUAAUCGGAAUUACUGGGCGUAAAGCGCUCGUAGGCGGUAUGUCAAGUCAAGGGUGAAAUCCCCGCGCUCAACGUGGGAACUGCCUUUGAAACUGGCAAACUGGGGUGUGUGAGAGGAUAGUGGAAUUCCAGGUGUAGGAGUGAAAUCCGUAGAUAUCUGGAGGAACAUCAGUGGCGAAGGCGACUAUCUGGCACAUAACUGACGCUGAGGAGCGAAAGCGUGGGUAGCAAACAGGAUUAGAUACCCUUGUAGUC